GCGCAUUUUUGCAGUACCUGCCCCCUUCUGAAGGAGUUAAGAACCUUGUGGAGAUCUCUCCGUGUUCAUGGGUCUCAUUUUUUGACACUGAGGAUCCGAGCCAUGUCUCCACCCCACCCCCGCACCCGGCCCAGCAACACCCUCUUGGCCGCAGCCCUGGUGGCUGAUUCACCAGCCUUGGGGGCCUCUGCACACAGGACUCCGCUGACCGUGAGCUUGGCUGUCCUCAGCCAACUCAGAUUUACUUGUGGCUACUUACAAUGAUGCCCGCCUCUGCCACUGGACCAAGUCCAGGGUUUUAAACCGAAAUACACACUUUAUUCUUUUCAAAACCUCUAGCAAGAUGCUAUUUCGCUGGAUCCAGCAAAAUCUCAUCACUUUCUGAGCACACAGUCCCUGUCACAGAAUUCACCAGAGCAGACAGACAUGCUCCUUGGGCCUCACUGUGCAGAACUUUCCAGCGGUGCUACAAAUAUUUGUGGGUCUGGUUCUCUGCUAGCCGGUAAGUACCUGAAAUGGAGGACCAUGACUUUCUUUCUUAUGUUUUUCUCUUUUUUUGGGUCUUUUUAGAGCCGCACCUGCGGCAUAUGGAGGUUCCCAGGCUAGGGGUCGAAUCGGAGCUGUAGCCACCGGCCUACGCCAGAGCCACAGCAACGCAGGAUCCGAGCCGCGUCUGCAACCUACACCACAGCUCACGGCAACGCCGGAUCAUUAACCCACUGAGCAAGGCCAGGGACCGAACCCG
rnacentral:lncRNA from 1 species